AGAGUUUGAUCCUAGCUCAGAGUGAACGCUAGCGGCACGCUUAACACAUGCAAGUCGAACGAAGGUAGCAAUACUUUAGUGGCAAACGGGUGAGUAAUGUAUAGGAACUUGCUUCAGGGUGGGGGAUAGCCUUUGGAAACGAAGAGUAAUACCGCAUAAUACCACUUGUGGGAAAGUCGUAAGACGCCCUGAAAGAGGCCUAUAUCCAAUUAGCUAGUUGGUGAGGUAAAGGCUCACCAAGGCUGUGAUUGGUAGCCGAUCUGAGAGGAUGGUCGGCCACACCGGGACUGAGACACGGCCCGGACUCCUACGGGAGGCAGCAGUGGGGAAUAUUGGACAAUGGGCGAAAGCCUGAUCCAGCGAUGUCGCGUGAGUGAUGAAGGCCUUUUGGUUGUAAAGCUCUUUUGUCGGGGAAGAUAAUGACGGUACCCGAAGAAUAAGUGCCGGCUAACUUCGUGCCAGCAGCCGCGGUAAUACGAAGGGCACAAGCGUUACUCGGAAUUAUUGGGCGUAAAGAGUGCGUAGGCGGUAGGAUAAGUUAGAUGUGAAAUCCUGGGGCUCAACCUCAGAACUGCAUUUAAUACUGUUCUACUGGAAUAUGGUAGGGGGCAAUAGAAUUUCCGGUGGAGGGGUAAAAUCCGUAGAUAUCGGAAGGAAUACCAAAAGCGAAGGCAUUUGCCUGGACCAUUAUUGACGCUGAUGCACGAAAGCGUGGGGAGCCAACAGGAUUAGAUACCCUGGUAGUCCACGCCCUAAACGAUGAUUGCUAAUCGUCGGGAUUUUUUAAUUUCGGUGGUACAGCUAACGCGUUAAGCAAUCCGCCUGGGUAGUACGACCGCAAGGUUAAAACUUAAAGGAAUUGGCGGGGACCCGCACAAGCGGUGGAGCAUCUGGUUUAAUUCGAUACUAACCGAAGAACCUUACCAUCUUUUGCAUGUAUGUAUCGGGAUUCUUUCAAGAAGGUCCUUCCGCAAGGAGGCAUACACAGGUGAUGCAUGGUUGUCGUCAGCUCGUGUCGUGAGAUGUUGGGUUAAGUCCCUUAACGAGCGCAACCCUCGCCCUUAUUUGCCAGCGAGUUAUGUCGGGAACUAUAAGGGGACUGCCUGCGAAAGCAGGAGGAAGGGGAGGAUGAUGUCAAAUCAUCAUGUCCUUUAUAAGAUGGGCUACACAGGUGCUACAAUGGGAGGUACAAUGUGCUGCAAACCAGCAAUGGCGAGCUAAUCACAAAAGCCUUCCUCAGUACGGAUUGAGGCUUGCAACUCAGCCUCAUGAAGCCGGAAUCGCUAGUAAUCGCGGAUCAGAAUGCCGCGGUGAAUACGUUCCCGGGUCUUGCACACACUGCCCGUCAAGGCAUGGGAGCCGAGAGUACCUGAAGACAGUAUCAUUAACCGCAAGGAAAUGACCGUUUAGGGUAAUAUCGGUGACUGAGCUUAAGUCGUAACAAGGUA
rnacentral:rRNA from 1 species